rnacentral:rRNA from 1 species
GACGAACGCUGGCGGCGUGCUUAACACAUGCAAGUCGUACGGUAAGGCCUUUCGGGGUACACGAGUGGCGAACGGGUGAGUAACACGUGGGUGAUCUGCCCUGCACUUCGGGAUAAGCCCGGGAAACUGGGUCUAAUACCGGAUAGGACUGCGCGGUGCAUGCCGUGUGGUGGAAAGAUUUAUCGGUGCAGGAUGGGCCCGCGGCCUAUCAGCUUGUUGGUGGGGUAAUGGCCUACCAAGGCGACGACGGGUAGCCGGCCUGAGAGGGCGACCGGCCACACUGGGACUGAGACACGGCCCAGACUCCUACGGGAGGCAGCAGUGGGGAAUAUUGCACAAUGGGCGCAAGCCUGAUGCAGCGACGCCGCGUGAGGGAUGACGGCCUUCGGGUUGUAAACCUCUUUCAGCAGGGACGAAGCGUGAGUGACGGUACCUGCAGAAGAAGCACCGGCCAACUACGUG